UUUCGAACCAGAGGUGUGCACGAACAACGUUAUUCGCGAAUAUUUGCAAAUAAUUCAAACAAUUAUUUGUUUGCGGCUAUUUUUUACGGAGUAAUUAUUCGGUAAUUAUUCGUGAACAAUUUCGAACAAUUUACAAACAAAAUCAAACAAUUUUUCGAAUUUUGACAGUUGAAUUCGGUUGAAAUAUCGAUUGAAUUACCGAAAUUGGUACAACUUCUUUGUCGUCAGAAAUAGUCAAACUUGUUUAAUUUUAUAGUUUCAGUUCAGAGUUUCAGACUUUCAGUACGUAAUGCUCAUUGAGACGGCGUGGUCGUGACUACCACACAUAUUAUUCGUGAGACAGCACGAGAAACUAAGUGCUAGAACGCUAGAAGUGUGCUGCUAAAGGUGGCACAAUUCAUUAGUUGCCUUGACUGAGGCCUAUUGUUUGCUAGCAGGUGUUAGUCAAGUGCCAUUUACCACCUAAUAACCACACUGCAGGUGGCACGAUUCACUAGUUGCCUUGACUGAGACCUAUUGUUUGCUAGCAGGUGUUAGGCAGGUGCCAUUUACCACCUAAUAACCACACUGCAGAUAAAGUUUUGCUUUGUUUUACAAAUGUGAAGUAACAUAGUACAUGUUCAUUUG